GUUUNUAGAAUUCCCAUGGAAUAAAAAGGGUAGACCAUAACGUUGAAGUAUUAUUCAAUAAGAACUCACUGGAUAAGCUGAUCUUGACAUAAAGCAAAGAGCGCCAAGCCACUAUCAAUUAGACAUAGUUCACUUUUUGCCUUAAAGCCAUGGAUUCUAGCUUGCAAGCAGCCACUUCUUGAACAUCAAGAGGAUCUAUACUCUUGCUUAUUCCAAACGCUAGAUGAAGUGUGAAGUGCUCUAGAAAAGAGAGAAGUUCAGCUUUUAACUACUUGGAGAUCAGUUGUUGAAAUUCCAGCUGGGACGGAAAACUACUAGGCGCCUUCUCCUCAUCUGUCUUGAGCCUUGAAGGGCUGAGUUCUUCAGUACAUGUACUGGCGGGAGAUAGCCUGUGGAAUACUCGAGCUAUCAAGAUGCACAAGCUGGCCUGAACACCAUCAUUAUCAAGAUAAUUGGAAAAUGAGAAGAAUAAGGUGCUUGAAACCACAAGAGGCUAUAGAGAAUUAGACUAGCAACAAUGCUGGAGGUAAAUUGGAUUAUUUAUACUUGGAAACGACAAUCUAAGCAUAGGUCCUCAUUAAUGUGAGCUGUAUAGUGGACUAUUUGUUGGUCAUCCCACGCGAGAAUUUGUCGAAGUGGACUGUUGUAGCCAUAUCUUUGUGUAGUGGUCGAUUGGUUGAAGGAUUAUGAACUAAGAAUGGAGCAUGGUUAGGCAAAAUGUACUGUCUUGUUGUACCUCAAAAUUUUGUAGAGUAGG